rnacentral:misc_RNA from 1 species
UCUAUCAGCCUCUUGUACGCCCUGCAAAUCCAACCCUUAAGUAUAUAUUAUCAGCAAUUUAUGAAGUUUUAACAUAGUUGUAAACUGUUCUAUAACUCCUUAACAUUUACUGAAAACAUCUAAAAUACUUUGUUUGCAGAACCAUACCUCUGAGUUAGCAAUCACAACGUUCUUCCCGAUUCUGGCAUUCUUGUCAAUGAUGCAUUCCCUAUUUAACGCAAUGCAGCAACAUAUUUUAUUCCAAUGUGAAUAGAAAUGGAUGUCUCACGUUUAAAGAUUCCCAUCCCAAUUCAUGUUCAUUUCUUAAUUAUCAAGUGUAAUUUCAUGAUAAUUCUAAAAAUUACACCCAAAACAGCAAAAAACUUUGCUGGAUUCUCUGUAAAUCAAAUGAUAGGAUCCUAUCUGAGAAUUGGAAUCUGUUUCCCAUUUUAAGAGAUUUAAACUUGUUCCAUACCUUAUUCUUGUAUUUUCU